UACGUAGGGGGCUAGCGUUGUCCGGAUUUAUUGGGCGUAAAGAGCGUGUAGGCGGCCAGGUAGGUCUGGUGUGAAAACUCGAGGCUCAACCUCGAGACGCCGGUGGAAACUGCAAAGCUAGAGUCCGGAAGAGGAGAGUGGAAUUCCUGGUGUAGCGGUGAAAUGCGCAGAUAUCAGGAAGAACACCCGUGGCGAAGGCGGCUCUCUGGGACGGUACUGACGCUGAGACGCGAAAGCGUGGGGAGCGAACAGG
rnacentral:rRNA from 1 species